CAGCCGCCGCGGUAAUUCCGGCGGCCCGAGUGGCGAUCACUAUUAUUGGGCUUAAAGCGUCCGUAGCCGGGUUGGGAAGUCCUCCGGGAAAUCUGGCCGCUUAACGGUCAGAAUGCCGGAGGAUACUCCCAGCCUAGGGAGCGGGAGAGGCCGAGGGUAUUCCCGGAGUAGGGGUGAAAUCCUAUAAUCCCGGGAGGACCACCUGUGGCGAAGGCGCUCGGCUGGAACGCGUCCGACGGUGAGGGACGAAGGCCAGGGGAGCAAACCGGAUUAGAUACCCGGGUAGUCCUGGCUGUAAACGAUGCGGACUUUGUGUCGGACAAGCUAUGAGCUUGUCCGGUGCCGGAGGGAAACCGUUAAGUCCGCCGCCUGGGGAGUACGGCCGCAAGGCUGAAACUUAAAGGAAUUGGCGGG
rnacentral:rRNA from 1 species